CCUACGGGAGGCAGCAGUGGGGAAUAUUGCACAAUGGGGGAAACCCUGAUGCAGCCAUGCCGCGUGUGUGAAGAAGGCCUUCGGGUUGUAAAGCACUUUCAGCGAGGAGGAAAGGGUGUAAGUUAAUACCUUACAUCUGUGACGUUACUCGCAGAAGAAGCACCGGCUAACUCCGUGCCAGCAGCCGCGGUAAUACGGAGGGUGCGAGCGUUAAUCGGAAUUACUGGGCGUAAAGCGUGCGCAGGCGGUUUGUUAAGCGAGAUGUGAAAGCCCCGGGCUCAACCUGGGAACCGCAUUUCGAACUGGCAAACUAGAGUCUUGUAGAGGGGGGUAGAAUUCCAGGUGUAGCGGUGAAAUGCGUAGAGAUCUGGAGGAAUACCGGUGGCGAAGGCGGCCCCCUGGACAAAGACUGACGCUCAGGCACGAAAGCGUGGGGAGCAAACAGGAUUAGAUACCCUGGUAGUCCACGCCGUAAACGAUGUCUACUCGGAGUUUGGUGUCUUGAACACUGGGCUCUCAAGCUAACGCAUUAAGUAGACCGCCUGGGGAGUACGGCCGCAAGGUUAAAACUCAAAG
rnacentral:rRNA from 1 species